AUCUCUACGAGAGGCUUAGGGUUCCAGUGGAUAACUU
rnacentral:sRNA from 1 species